GUAAGGAAGUAACAGGUAAGUAAAGUGAGUUAUCAAAUCAAAAUUACACAGCUGUAGUGUGAUUUAUAUGCGCGUAUUGAUUUAUUAGCGCCGACUGCAAGGACGGAACGUAGGGUGAAGCGGCUACAGAUCUUUGCUGCCUGCUGCGCAACACAAAGGAGAGCCAACGAUACCAACCAUGGCCGACGAGCGACCAGAGAAUAGAAAGGAAUUCCAGCCUUUUGUGGUGAUCGACAUUUAUGAUGAAAUAGAAGCUCUAGUGGCUGAGAGUGCCAGAAUGAGAAGUGCUCAGACCAGUGCCAGAAAUGAUGGAGCUACACUCGGCACCACAGCAGGUUAUACAUUAUCUGAAACUGCUUUACGUGUGUUUUUUUAUAAAUUUAUUUUUAAUUCUAAAUGUUAUUUAUAGAUAAUUUUAAAGUUCGUAGUCUGUAUUAUAUAAAAUAGAUAUAAGCAUUAUGUACAAUCACGUUACAACACUACAAAAUAAACGCUACACGUAUAUCAUAGUGCAUGUAUUUUAUUAAUGUCUCUCGGAAAUGUUCGUAUCGUAAAUACGGAACGGGAUGUGAGUUUUC